rnacentral:lncRNA from 1 species
UGGCAAUCCAAUAUCCAAGUGUCUCCAAGAGACCACUUUACUUUCUCUUUCCAUUGCCGCGGCUGAUAUCAAUUCGUUCCUGCAAUGAAUUCACAUGAACACUUUGUUCGCGAAUCCGAGCAAAACUCCUCGACAGAGUCACCAGCCAAACCGCUCACCUUGGCUUUCCAUGGGUGGACCAAAGGUCACCAACCAUACGUAGAUCUGCCGCCCAAACCUAUCUCAACACGUAGCGUCUCUCGCUCGCAAGCGUGGACCCAAUCAACACUACUGGGCGAAAUUCUCACUUGGGAAUUCGCACACACUCCGACUAGGAGCAACUAUGACCCCUAAACCACGUCAAGUCCUCGGGUUGGGUUACUGCACACUCGGUGUGUCAUCGAUCUCGUAAUCCACACGUGGCAUUCCACGCUCCCGGGUCUAUGCUUGGACUACCACCCUGACCAAAACUCUGCCCUACCCGUAGGUACCGGGCCGCUGCCACUCGCAGCCGACUGUGCCUACCCAAUGGGCCCAGGCUCCACAGUCCACAAAUGGUCCAGGCACGGGUCGUCCCCAAGCACUACCCGCCGUCGUCAUCCUACACGACAUGUUCUACCGAGUCAGACGUACCACUAUCGUCUCCUAAGCACCUAGUGCGAGCCAUCAGCCCCACGAGUGACCCAUGGCCUGCUUCACACUUAGCAAUGCUACAGUGCUACUGCCAUCUCACUCCUCCGGCUGAAUAAAAUCCGCACUCCACGAGUAAUUACACUCGAGCGCUCUACGCCUCUACAGCGUUCCACACGAAAUCUAGCAUUAGGCAAUCUUGCCUAUGCACACCGGCCGCACAAGCACAGCCGCCUACCUCACCUUAAGGUACUACUAGGCCCAUGUGCUCAAACUUGGCCACUAAUCGAUCGUCCUCUCAGCAAUGACUCUACCUUCAUCGUCCAAUCUACCGGAACAAUAUCCGAAAUUUUCGGAUUACUCGUGGUGUAGCUGAAAUGGUGAGGCGAUUCUCAAGGCAACAUGCUCAGUAGAUUGCGAGAGUUGAGCCAUGAUAUUUGUAGGCGGAUUGGGUCAUGUGACAAGAAUCCUAUAGUGACACGAAUGAUGAUGAACUUGGACUCGUGAUGAUGAAAACUAGUAGCAUUUGGAUUAGUGUAAUAGAGACACUAUAACAAGAACGAGUGGCAUGUCAAUUUAGUGUAUUGAGACACAUAUAGCAUCAUGACAUAAAUGAGUGGCAUCAAAUCUAGUGUAGUGGAACACUAUGGCAUUUGAACCUAGGGAUAGUAGAUUUUUUCGAUUGUCAUGUUGUAGACAUUAUGCAUUUGGCAUUAGUGCAGUUGAGGCACAUUAACCCUGGUAGAUAGGGUAUCCUCUUGUGAGGAUUGGAUCAUACUCACAUGUCUGUUCAGAGCUUGUAGGUGGUCUCUCCACACAAGCAGUGCACUCCGGAGUCGUCACAUGAUAGGGAUAGCCGUUUGGGUCCCGCAGACAGUCUUGGGCGAGUGAGCUGAUCCUCCCCAGGUGAGUCGGGUGAGUGAGCUGAUCCUCACCUAUGAAUUGAGAUUGGGU